AGUGAACGCUGGCGGUAGGCCUAACACAUGCAAGUCGAACGGCAGCACAGUAAGAGCUUGCUCUUACGGGUGGCGAGUGGCGGACGGGUGAGGAAUACAUCGGAAUCUACUUUUUCGUGGGGGAUAACGUAGGGAAACUUACGCUAAUACCGCAUACGACCUACGGGUGAAAGCAGGGGAUCUUCGGACCUUGCGCGAUUGAAUGAGCCGAUGUCGGAUUAGCUAGUUGGCGGGGUAAAGGCCCACCAAGGCGACGAUCCGUAGCUGGUCUGAGAGGAUGAUCAGCCACACUGGAACUGGGACACGGUCCAGACUCCUACGGGAGGCAGCAGUGGGGAAUAUUGGACAAUGGGCGCAAGCCUGAUCCAGCCAUACCGCGUGGGCGAAGAAGGCCUUCGGGAUGUAAAGCCCUUUUGUUGGGAAAGAAAAGCAGCAGGUUAAUACCCCGCUGUUCUGACGGUACCCAAAGAAUAAGCACCGGCUAACUUCGUG
rnacentral:rRNA from 1 species